rnacentral:rRNA from 1 species
ACAGCAGCCGCCGCGGGAAUACGUAGGUGGCAAGCGUUGUCCGGAAUUAUUGGGCGUAAAGGGCUCGCAGGCGGUUUCUUAAGUCUGAUGUGAAAGCCCCCGGCUCAACCGGGGAGGGUCAUUGGAAACUGGGAAACUUGAGUGCAGAAGAGGAGAGUGGAAUUCCACGUGUAGCGGUGAAAUGCGUAGAGAUGUGGAGGAACACCAGUGGCGAAGGCGACUCUCUGGUCUGUAACUGACGCUGAGGAGCGAAAGCGUGGGGAGCGAACAGGAUUAGAUACCCGCGUAGUCCCUGUCUCUUAUAU